UACGGAGGGGGCUAGCGGUGUUCGGAAUUACUGGGCGUAAAGCGCGUGUAGGCGGGUCCUUAAGUCGGGGGUGAAAGCCCGGGGCUCAACCUCGGAACUGCCUUCGAUACUGAGGACCUGGAGUCUGGGAGAGGUGAGCGGAAUUCCGAGUGUAGAGGUGAAAUUCGUAGAUAUUCGGAGGAACACCAGAGGCGAAGGCGGCUCACUGGACCAGUACUGACGCUGAGACGCGAAAGCGUGGGGAGCAAACAGG
rnacentral:rRNA from 1 species